rnacentral:rRNA from 1 species
UACGGAGGGUGCAAGCGUUAAUCGGAAUUACUGGGCGUAAAGCGCGCGUAGGCGGUUUGAUAAGUCGAUUGUGAAAUCCCCGGGCUCAACCUGGGAAUUGCAGUCGAGACUGUCAGACUAGAGUGUGGGAGAGGGUGGUGGAAUUCCCGGUGUAGCGGUGAAAUGCGCAGAUAUCGGGAGGAACACCGGUGGCGAAGGCGGUUCUCUGGGCCUUACCUGGACGCUGAGGAGCGAAAGCGUGGGGAGCGAACAGG